AGGUAAAAUCAUUAGAUGGUACAAUUUGAAGUAAGUGAUGAUAUAUUGGGCCUACUCAAAGAAUAAACAAGGUAAGCUUAGUGAAGUAAGACAUUUUAUCAUCUGAGUUGAGAUAGAGAAACAAAGAAUAGUUCAACAGGUCCUUAUAGUAGAGAGGAAGAGAAGGCUAUGAGAAUGAGAUGGGAGUAAAUAAGAAGGAGAUAUAUGGAUACACCAUUUUCUUCUUUUACUUCUGUACCUGAAAUCUUUUCACAUGUUAUAUUAAUGUAGUCUAUAAAAUUGAAAUACCACCAGAUUGGGUGGGAAACAUAGUGGUAAUUUCCGGCCUCCAUUCCUUGACUUCUCAUCUAUCUUAAGGCACAUGGGGAAACACUCAAAGGGUCCUGUGGGCAAUAGAGACUAGAUCUUUCUCAGACUGUCUUCUCAAAAGGGUUUGAUAGAAAGGGGAUAGAGAGAUCUGGGUUCCAAGAUUAAAAACAAGCCAGAGACUCUAGGAAUUGUUGUCUUCACGGUUAGUUAGCCCUUGGAGAAGGUAUUCCCAUGUUGUCUUCAGAGCCAUGCUCAUCAAAGUAACUCAUUCUGACUCCUACAAACAAACUCCAAGAAAGCCCUUUGGGAAUGCUCAUCUCAAUGCGUACACCAAGUCUAAUUGGCAUCUUGAGUAAUGGUUUGCAGAAGAGAUUCAGGAUAUGUCCUCUGGGUUGCUAUCCCUGACGCAAUAUAUUUAGCACCUUCAGUUUGCCCCAGCUGACAUCAAAGGUCCUCUGGGUUAUGAGGAUGUUUUAUUUCUCACAGAUGGUGCUCCUCUUCCCCCAUGAUUGGCUCACGUCUUGCCAUGUCUGCCCUCACCCUAACCCCCAUGAUUCCUGCUGAGGAAACAUUCCACAGUCAAGAAGGCACUUAUUCUAAAAACAAAUGCUAGAGGCAAAUUCUGAUCUUAUUAAUUUGGAGGAGGUGUAAAGUGAGGAAGAAAAUGUCCGGCGUGAUCCCAAAUUGCAGAAAAUAGAAAACAUGUUUUCUUUUGACUCUGGACUCUUUAAUAAUUACGCUGGUAUUAAAUGUAGCUUCUUAGUCAGGUAACAUUAAUGGAAAUCCUUUUUGCCCAAGCUCUCAUUGCCAUUUUGCUAUGGAGAUGCACCUGAAAUAUAUGUUUAGAAACAGCAGAAGCAUAUGCAUGAUUCAAAGGCCCAGCUAGUAGAGGUUAAAGAAGCUCAGUUACUUAAUAUGUCCUGACGUGUGCUGAUGGAGUUCAAAAUCUGAGUACACAUUGCAAGAGCAUUACAGAAUUACAUGUGCUGUUGCUCCUGAUUAUGCCCUGUCACUAGGAUAAGUAGUGUGGAGGACACAGGAUGACUGUGGAGGACAUUAUCUUCUAUGCCAUUCCAGCAGUAAAUGGAUAUCUCCAGCAUUAGAGAAGGAAGUCUGAUGAGCACCUUAGAAAGACUUGUUUGGAUGAUCAGUAGCCAAUGUUUGAGUCAGUGUGGACCUAUCCUGCCCUCGCCAUUUCACUUCUAUGCUUGUUCUACCCACAAGUCUCUGCAGAGGAAAUUCCAGGUAAGGAAAUUUUGGGGCUUGACGUAUCCAGGAAACCUUUAUUAGAAACUAGGGCAUCCUCUUGCAUUGUCACCUUGUUUCUCCAUCCCUUAAGUCAGAGGGUGAUGUCUUGUCAGUCCUUGAGGAAAGCUUCCUGAGAAGGCAGAGGAAAACAUCAGCUGGAGAACACAAGUCAGAAUGGGAAAUUUUUAGGUAAGUUGCCU
rnacentral:lncRNA from 1 species